rnacentral:lncRNA from 1 species
AAACAAGUAAACAUGAAGAUUUGAAACGCUGAUUGGUCCGUCUCUUGUCAUACAGGGGACAAUGACAAGUUUAGGAACAAUGGAUCGCUUUAGCAAUUGUAAUUCGCCGCCAAAAACACGGCACUGUUUUACGACAAACUGCACUUCCACCCUGUAUCUAAGAACAUCAUAACAUUUAGCAAAUAUCUGGCGGACGUCAAUCAAAAAAACUGUGGACAGAACGGCGCUCAGAGANAAUUCUGUCAUGAAUAAUUAAACAAACAACAGAGUGGCUUUCCCGCCGACGACUGUGAUUGGUUAGAAACGCAUCACGUGUCGUGUAGUGUUGAAAAAUUGCAAUAAUUACCGUCCAAUUGUCAAUGGUUGUUCACGGAGGGUUUGCGUGUUAGCAGAGGUGAUAGUAGAUGUAAAGUUCGAGAGGUGAUUUUUGAAAGGAGUCAGCAGCGCGCACUCAUAUGAAUGGCGGGAAACUGAGUAUUGAUGGCGUUACUUUGUUUACCUACCAAGCAGCGACAGCAUUGACUCCUAGGACGUACAAGUAAAUGGAUCAAAGAUUCUCUUAGAGUAAUUCCAUCGAACGAUCGAUCGCCGCGAUCAAACGUUCGAUCCGUUUGUGGUUCGUUAAGAAGGACUAGAGGCUUAUAGCAUGACGACCACUGAGUACCCUCGUCUCUGCUGCUAGAAAAUACAGGGUUGCGUAUGAUGAACGAAAGCCCAAUUUCAAAUCGUUCGCCGACAAUGACAACAGAUCGAGUUAGUGCACCAAGCCAGGAACGAAGUNAUACUAAGGAAAAUGACACCCAGCGUACUCCUACGUCGGACGAAGCUGGAGGUCGAACCACUACAAGUACUACAGAUCAUGAUGGUGGGCGAAUAACAGAGACUGAUCCAAAUGAUGUUGACAAUAAAACAAAGAGCCUCCAAGACAAGGAUAGCGAUAAAAAGCAAGCACAAGUAAAACAACAACAAAACAAGAAAAAANUGUCCAGCAGUUUGCCNCGACAGGUAAAAUUCACUGCUACGUUUUUGCCUUUNCGAUAUUGAUAUNUACCAAAAAGCACCCCUCUUUCCUUCCAACAACAACACAUGUUUUGUUACAUGAUAUUGUUGAAGGUAUUUCAGAUAUCACAAAACAGGGCAACUAUCCAAGAUAGAUAGAAUGCAUUUCGAACACCACUGAAUUUAAAUAUCUUAAACUUCCAUUAAUUUAUGGAGUAUGUCAAUGAACUUAAUAUUUCCAAGUGGUAAUGUUACACACAUUGACAAUAAUUACACCUUGGCAUCUGAAUCAGCUGUUUUUAGUCACUGGUGUAGAUUGUUUUGUAAUUUGAUUUCUUAGAGGAAACAUUAUACAGGAAUUUGUUGAAAGUUGUGGAUGUUCAAGCUUGACCCCUUGAAUACACACUUAUAUAAAUCCUUUUGACUGGAGACCCUGUUUUAAAUGUAUCUCUGCGCAACCUCUAUUGCUUGCCAUACUAUAAAGAUGAAUUUAUUUGAAAUAGCAACAUUUCGUGUUAUUUUUAACAAAUUAAUUUCUUCAAAAUAAGAGUUAUACAAAAAGAGCAUGAUAUCAUUCUUCCAAAAGAAGGAAAAACAAAUUUCUAAGUGUACAUUUGCUGUAAAAGAGCAAUUGCUUAGAGCAAAAUAAUUUCUCAUGGUUCCUUGAAACGGUAUCAAUUACUAUUAUCAGUAAGUGCAUUACUUCCUACAAGUUUGACUCACUGUUUUCAGAUGUAAGCAGAUAUAUUUCUAGCAAUCUAAAACUCAGUAAUUUUGGUUUGCUGCAAUUUAGUUGCAUUGGCAUUUUCACUUCAACAAAAUUGCUGGGGAAACCUUGAAAAGUGAACUAAUUUCAAUACUUUGCUGUGUCUGUAAGCAAAACUUCUGCAGGGUAGUGGCAUUUUGUAGCAGGUGACAUGGUAAAAGGGUUAACAAUAUCUCAGAUAGAAAGACAAUAUUAAUCCAAUGCGAAAAGCAUUGUAUUAACCUUUUUUUACAUUACAUCAAGGAUGUCUUGUUCGGAGUAAGUGCUUCUAAAUUUCAACUUGGAUAUACUAUUAUUGUAAAAAACGGUAUGCUAUAUAUAAACUUGUUGAAAGGAUAUCAAAUUACCAAAGGGGGUUGCGACUGACAAGUACAAAUAAAAAUAUGGAGCGUAUUAAAAACAUAUAUCAGCGUUAAAUUGCUUUUAUAUCCAUCUAAAAGAAUUGUCUUGAAUUCCUUUAUUUAGUUUAUCUUUAGUUCAGUUAAAUAACAGAGAUUUAUUAUUAUCACACAUUUGUUUACUUCCUUUUUCACAUACAAAU